rnacentral:tRNA from 1 species
UGGCAGGUAGCUCAGUAGUAGAGCGCUAAACCCCUUGGUUAAAUCCUUGUCUGCAAAGACCGAAAAAUUGAGGGUUAUCGAAAUUCCAACUCGAGAGGUCGCGGGUGCAAAUCCCGUCCUGCCAC